rnacentral:rRNA from 1 species
GAUCCUGGCUCAGGAUGAACGCUAGCUACAGGCUUAACACAUGCAAGUCGAGGGGCAGCAUUUUAGUUUGCUUGCGAACUAAAGAUGGCGACCGGCGCACGGGUGAGUAACACGUAUCCAACCUGCCGAUAACUCGGGGAUAGCCUUUCGAAAGAAAGAUUAAUAUCCGAUAGUAUAUUAAAACCGCAUGGUUUUACUAUUAAAGAAUUUCGGUUAUCGAUGGGGAUGCGUUCCAUUAGUUUGUUGGCGGGGUUAACGG